rnacentral:rRNA from 1 species
UACGUAGGGUGCGAGCGUUAAUCGGAAUUACUGGGCGUAAAGCGUGCGCAGGCGGUUUUGUAAGCCAGAUGUGAAAUCCCCGGGCUUAACCUGGGAAUGGCAUUUGGACUGCAAGGCUCGAGUGCGGCAGAGGAGACUGGAAUUCCUGGUGUAGCAGUGAAAUGCGUAGAUAUCAGGAGGAACACCGAUGGCGAAGGCAGGUCUCUGGCCGAUACUGACGCUGAGGAGCGAAGCUGGGAGCGAACAG